AUAAAGUUUAAUUCUAGUUUAAAGAUUUAUUUAAUUUUUUUUUUACAUGUAAAUUUUUGUAGGAUAUUAGUUAAAUUUUAAAAAUUUAAUUAAAAUAAUUUAUUCGCAGUAUUUAAUUUUAAUAAUUUAAGAAAUUAAGAAUUAGAAAUAAAUUUUAAUAUUAACAAAUUUUGUGCCAGCAGUUGCGGUUAUACAAAAGAUAUAAAUGAAUUUUAUUAGUAAAUAAUUAUAUGAAUUAUUAAUAAAUUAAAAUAGUAUUUAUUAGGUGAAAUUUUAAGUAUUAAAUUAAUUUAUAAAAAAGUUUUUAUUAUUAUGAAAUUUAUAUUUAAACUAGGAUUAGAUACCCUAUUAUUUUAAAUGUAAAAAGUUUUACUUAAGUAGUAUUAGUUAUGUUCUUGAAAUUUAAAGAUUUUGGCGGUAUUUUAGUCUAUUUAGAGGAACCUGUUCUGUAAUUGAUAAUCCACGAUUAACUUCACUUAUUUUAUAAAUUUGUAUACCGUCGUUAUUAGAAAAUUUUAGCAGAAAAUAAAUUUUUAAUAUUUUAAAUUAAAAAAUAUAUCAGAUCAAGGUGCAGUAUAUAUCUAAGAAGAAAUGGGUUACAAUAAAUUUAUUUAUACGGAUUAAAGUAAGAAUAAACUUUAUGAAGGUGGAUUUAAUAGUAAUAAAAUUUAAUUAAAUUUUAUGAUUUUAGCUCUAAAAUAUGUACAUAUCGCCCGUCGCUCUUAUUAUAAGGUAAGAUAAGUCGUAACAUAGUAGAUGUACUGGAAAGUGUAUCUAGAAUGAA
rnacentral:rRNA from 1 species